rnacentral:rRNA from 1 species
GACGAACGCUGGCGGCGUGCCUAAUACAUGCAAGUUGAGCGCUGAAGGUUGGUACUUGUACCAACUGGAUGAGCAGCGAACGGGUGAGUAACGCGUGGGGAAUCUGCCUUUGAGCGGGGGACAACAUUUGGAAACGAAUGCUAAUACCGCAUAAAAACUUUAAACACAAGUUUUAAGUUUGAAAGAUGCAAUUGCAUCACUCAAAGAUGAUCCCGCGUUGUAUUAGCUAGUUGGUGAGGUAAAGGCUCACCAAGGCGAUGAUACAUAGCCGACCUGAGAAGGUGGUCGGCCACAUUGGGACUGAGACACGGCCCAAACUCCUACGGGAAGCAGCAGUAGGGAAUCGUCGGCAAUGGACGAAAGUCUGACCGAGCAACGCCGCGUGAGGGAAGAAGGUUUUCGGAUCGUAAAACUCUGUUGGUAGAGAAGAACGUUGGUGAGAGUGGAAAGCUCAUCAAGUGACGGUAACUACCCAGAAAGGGACGGCUAACUACGUG